rnacentral:rRNA from 1 species
GGGUUGUGAGGUUAAGCGACUAAGCGUACACGGUGGAUGCCUAGGCAGUCAGAGGCGAUGAAGGGCGUGCUAAUCUGCGAUAAGCGUCGGUAAGCUGAUAUGAAGCGUUAUACCCGACGAUACCCGAAUGGGGAAACCCAGUGUGUUUCGACACACUAUCAUGACAUGAAUCCAUAGUGUCAUGAGGCGAACCGGGGGAACUGAAACAUCUCAGU